CCUACGGGAGGCAGCAGUAGGGAAUAUUGCUCAAUGGGGGAAACCCUGAAGCAGCAACGCCGCGUGGAGGAUGAAGGUUUUCGGAUUGUAAACUCCUUUUGUUAGAGAAGAUAAUGACGGUAUCUAACGAAUAAGCACCGGCUAACUCCGUGCCAGCAGCGGCGGUAAUACGGAGGGUGCAAGCGUUACUCGGAAUCACUGGGCGUAAAGAGCGCGUAGGCGGGAUAGCAAGUCAGAUGUGAAAUCCUAGGGCUUAACCAUAGAACUGCAUUUGAAACUGUUAUUCUAGAGUAUGGGAGAGGUAGGUGGAAUUCUUGGUGUAGGGGUAAAAUCCGUAGAGAUCAAGAGGAAUACUCAUUGCGAAGGCGACCUGCUAGAACAUAACUGACGCUGAUGCGCGAAAGCGUGGGGAGCAAACAGGAUUAGAUACCCCUGUAGUC
rnacentral:rRNA from 1 species